UCAACCUGCGGGAGCAGGGCCGAGGGAAAGACCAGCCGGGACGUCUGAAAAAGGUUCAGGGCAUCGGCUGGUACCUAGAAGAGAAGAACCUGGCUCAGGUGUCCACCAACCUCCUGGAUUUUGAGGUCACGGCUCUGCACACAGUGUACGAGGAGGCCCGCCGAGAGGCUCAGGAGCUGAAUCUCCCAGUGGUGGGCUCACAGCUGGUGGGCCUGGUGCCUCUGAAGGCCUUACUGGAUGCCGCAGCCUUCUACUGUGACAAGGAGAAGCUGUUUGUUCUGGAGGAGGAGCACCGGAUUCGACUGGUGGUGAACCGGCUGGGUCUGGAUUCCCUGGCGCCCUUCGACCCAAAGGAGCGGAUCAUCGAGUGAGGCCUUAUGUCCCUGCCCCUUCCUGCCCCCUUUUUACUUGCUUUACCCCUCUUCCGCCAUCUACUACUUCCUCCUUAUCUUCACAUCUCCGGUCCCCAUACCUUAAGUCUGAUGCCUGUUGUCGUCGCCCCCACCCCUCAACCCCCCAUGCUUCAGUCCCGCCUCCUUCUGGCCUGCUCGCUUCUCUUCUCUCCUGGCUCUUAGCUUGGGAUUGGGGGUAAGAUGUCUGCCUCCCCUUCUUUAAGUCUCUCCCACCGGGUAGGUACCUGGUCCCGGAUAGUGGACCAGAACAGAGCCUGCUGGACGCAUCACUGCGUGCUUUUGUUCGGGAGGUGGGAGCCCGCUCUGC
rnacentral:lncRNA from 1 species